UACGGAGGGAGCUAGCGUUGUUCGGAAUUAUUGGGCGUAAAGGGCGCGUAGGCGGUCUUGUCAGUCUGUAGGGACAGGGCACAGCUCAACUGUGUCAGGCUUACGGAAACUGCAAGACUUGAGGGCUUCAGAGGGAUGGGGAAUUCCGGGUGGAGUGGUGAAAUGCGUAGAGAUCCGGAAGAACACCAAAGGCGAAGGCACCAUCCUGGGGAGUCACUGACGCUCGGGUGCGAAAGCUAGGGGAGCGAACGGG
rnacentral:rRNA from 1 species